AGCCGAAGUGCGAGGGAAGAGAACUCAGCAGCCUCACUGCUCAAUGGCGAGAGUGUCGGUGUCAUAUUGUUAGUGUCUGUGAACUGGAUACAUGGAGGCAGCUAGCUGCUUGGAAAUGCAGUCUGUUGUGCCACAGGAAGAAAAAGGAGGCUAAUGUGCCGCCUCCACUGACCCUUUGUGACCUCUCAUGUAAACCUACCUCCCACAAGCACACCUCCUCCAGGAACCUUUAUCAACCUUAUGUCUUCUUGAGCCUGCGUGAGCCAUUUUUAUCUUCAAACCACUAGGCACUAAAUAAUUGAACAUCUUCCGCCCAAAGAGCUAUUUAUAUUUACUCAUGCUAUACAGGAAAGAAAUGUCGCGGGAUUCACGUUUCAAGCCGAAAACAACGGGAUGGAUGAAUGCAAUAUGAAUGCUGUCCCGUGAAGGUAGGACACUCCCACUCUUGAAAGAAGCUAGCUCUGCAUUGCCUGUGUGCUUACUUCCUGUGACGGUAAUAAAAUACCG
rnacentral:lncRNA from 1 species